ensembl:lncRNA
CCUUGGCCUCAAUGAAGACCUACACGUGAGAAGACCUCUUCACUAGGACAUGACACACCCAGCACAAAAUCCAACAAACUGGACUGACAGACUGAUGGCCCGUUAGACCAUGCCAUGCUCUGUUCAAAUCUAUACCUUACUACAGUAUGACAUCACAUCCUCCUGUGCCAUGAUGUCAGUUCAUGUUGCCACAUCCCCUCCUUUUAACAUCACCACCACUUUCCCCUCUUCUCCCCCCCUCACCUACUCUCCAUGUUAUCACCCUUCUCCCCCCCUCACCUACUCUCCAUGUUAUCACCCUUCUAUCCCCCCCUCACCUACUCUCCAUGUUAUCACCCUUCUCCCCCCCUCACCUACUCUCCAUGUUAUCACCCCUCCCUCACCUACUCUCCAUGUUAUCACCCCCCCCCCACCUACUCUACAUGUUAUCACCCCCCCCCACCCACCUACUCUACAUGUUAUCACCCCCCCCCUCAGCUACUCUACAUGUUAUCACCCCCCCCCCCCCACCUACUCUACAUGUUAUCACCCCCCCCCCCCACCUACUCUACAUGUUAUCACCCCCCCUCAGCUACUCUACAUGUUAUCACCCCCCCCCCCACCUACUCUCCAUGUUAUCACCCCCCCCCCCCACCUACUCUCCAUGUUAUCACCCCCCCCCAGCUACUCUACAUGUUAUCACCCCCCCCACCCUACUCUACAUGUUAUCACCCCCCCCCUCAGCUACUCUACAUGUUAUCACCCCCCCCUCAGCUACUCUACAUGUUAUCACCCCCCCUCACCUACUCUCCAUGUUAUCACCCUUCUCCCCCCCCUCACCUACUCUCCAUGUUAUCACCCCCCCCCCCCCCACCUACUCUACAUGUUAUCACCCCCCCCUCACCUACUCUCCAUGUUAUCACCCCCCCCCCUCACCUACUCUCCAUGUUAUCACCCCCCCCACCUACUCUACAUGUUAUCACCCCCCCCUCAGCUACUCUACAUGUUAUCACCCCCCCCUCACCUACUCUCCAUGUUAUCACCCCCCCUCACCUACUCUCCAUGUUAUCACCCCCCCACCUACUCUACAUGUUAUCACCCCCCCUCAGCUACUCUACAUGUUAUCACCCCCCCCCCCCCCCUCACCUACUCUCCAUGUUAUCACCCCCCCCUCACCUACUCUCCAUGUUUUCACCCUUCCCCCACCCCCUACUCUCCAUGUUAUCACCCCCCCUCACCUACUCUACAUGUUAUCACCCCCCCCCCCUCACCUACUCUCCAUGUUAUCACCCCCCCCUCACCUACUCUCCAUGUUAUCACCCCCCCUCACCUACUCUCCAUGUUAUCACCCCCCCCCCCCCCCCCUCACCUACUCUCCAUGUUAUCACCCCCCCCACCUACUCUACAUGUUAUCACCCCCCCCUCACCUACUCUCCAUGUUAUCACCCCCCCCCUCACCUACUCUCCAUGUUAUCACCCCCCCACCUACUCUACAUGUUAUCACCCCCCCCUCAGCUACUCUACAUGUUAUCACCCCCCCCUCACCUACUCUCCAUGUUAUCACCCCCCCCCUCACCUACUCUCCAUGUUAUCACCCCCCCACCUACUCUACAUGUUAUCACCCCCCCUCAGCUACUCUACAUGUUAUCACCCCCCCCCCCUCACCUACUCUCCAUGUUAUCACCCCCCCUCACCUACUCUCCAUGUUAUCACCCUUCCCCCCCCCCACCCCCUACUCUCCAUGUUAUCACCCCCCCUCACCUACUCUACAUGUUAUCACCCCCCCCCCCCCCUCACCUACUCUCCAUGUUAUCACCCCCCCCCCCUCACCUACUCUCCAUGUUAUCACCCCCCCUCACCUACUCUCCAUGUUAUCCCAUUUGAUAUUUGCAACAAUGAGACAAUAGUAAGGCAUCGAUACUGUUGCAUUUAGAAUAUAAUUAGUUCCAUUGCCGUUAUUUCUAUAGUUUGGAGUUGGAGUUGAUGAUUGUGAUUGAAUAUUGUCUGAUGGUUAGGGUGUGUUCAGAGCAUAAGGCCUGAAUCCUGCUGUGAUGACUUCCUCACACACAGACACAGUAAUGCCAAUAACUUUUUCACAGUUCAGCUUGGUUUUAUAACUAUUUCAGUUCGUUUAAGUUUGAAAAAAAAAUAGAUCUAUUUUUUAGUUCACAACACUGCAUAUUUUAGUAAUUCAAAAUCCAGUGUACAAAACCAUUUCUGUUUUAUAUGUCUAAAUAUACAAGAGACAAAUAUAGUUGAUUUAUAGAUUUUGAAGAACGUGCCACUUUAUUGUUGCAAAGGAGGAUGGGAUGAGAUUUGUAAUAUUUUUUCUGGUUGGUUGUAAUUAUAUUUAUACGUCGGAUCUUCUGCAGUUCCCCGUCUGCACCCGAAUGGCACCCUAUUCCCUAUGUAGUACACUACUUUGUAUCAGGGCCUAUAGGACUCUGGUCAAAAGGAGUGCACUACUUUGUAUCAGGGCCUAUAGGACUCUGGUCAAAAGGAGUGCACUACUUUGUAUCAGGGCCUAUAGGACUCUGGUCAAAAGGAGUGCACUACUUUGUAUCAGGGCCUAUAGGACUCUGGUCAAAAGGAGUGCACUACUUUGUAUCAGGGCCUAUAGGACUCUGGUCAAAAGGAGUGCACUACUUUGUAUCAGGGCCUAUAGGACUCUGGUCAAAAGGAGUGCACUACUUUGUAUCAGGGCCUAUAGGACUCUGGUCAAAAGGAGUGCACUACUUUGUAUCAGGGCCUAUAGGACUCUGGUCAAAAGGAGUGCACUACUUUGUAUCAGGGCCUAUAGGACUCUGGUCAAAAGGAGUGCACUACUUUGUAUCAGGGCCUAUAGGACUCUGGUCAAAAGGAGUGCACUACUUUGUAUCAGGGCCUAUAGGACUCUGGUCAAAAGGAGUGCACUACGUAGUCAGGAACAGGGUGCCGUUUUGGACACACCCUGUCACACUGUCGUUGCCGACACACAUGUGAAUGUUUUGGCUUUAAAAAAAAAAGAAGAGAUGCUUCGUUUUUGUUUUUCUAUUGCUGAGAAGAGAAGAGAUAUAUUUAAAAAUGUUUUCAGACCGAGGUUUGGUUUUUAAGAAGUCUAUUUUACGACUAAUUGGUUUUGGGGUUGUCAUGGGAACAGAAAGACAAAGGGAUAGGAUAGCACAUGUAAAAAGCAAUAAGCAGAUGGUUUUGUUUAAGACUGUCUCCCAAAUGGCACUCUGCUUCCUAUAAAGUGCCCUACUUUUGACCACAUCCCCUAUGGGCCAUGGCACCCUAUUCCCUAAAUAGCCCUAUGGGCCCUGGUUAAAAGGAGUGCACUAUAAAGGGAAAAGGGUGUAAUUUUGGACACGGGUUAGGUUUUAGUGUACAAACUGUAAUUACCAAAAUGAAGUUGUUUGUGUAUAUAGUGCAUUGUGUAUUUAUCGGGGGUUGGAACCGGUUCAGGGAACAGAACCAAAAACUGGAAAAGAACAACAUUUUUUGAGGGAACGAGAACCGAGAACGAAAGUGAUCUAUUCUGUUCCGGAACAGAACCAUUCUGUUCUGGAACCAUUUUAAAAGCAUGGGAACCGUUUGAAAAAAUGAUUUUAUGUUCAGGGCAUUUUUUUCCCAGUAAAAAAACAAACAAAGCACCUACUGUAUGCAAAGCCCUCAGCUGUCACUCAGAAACGUAUUCCAGUGUCUGCCUUCCUGCUGUCUUCCUGCUGCCUUCUUGCCAACUGAAAAUCUUUGCCAGUGUGUAGGCUAACCUUCCCCCUCCCUCCAAAGCAUGCAUAUGCAUAAUCUACUGUAGCUACUGACGUUACAGGCGUGAUUCAGAAAUUAAAGGGAAAAUAUUUUUUUUUCGAGAACAAUGGGAUUAACUUUUUCAAUACUAGUUAAGGAUACUAUAAUUAUCACAUUUCAUAUUGGAUUUAUUAACAACAAAAAUAGGUUGUUGUUUUUGUAUUCUGGUGCUGCUCUGCACACACAAGCUUGUUAGAUAGCUAGCAAGUGCUUUCCAGAUACCCAGCCUUAACAGAAACCAAAGCGAUUCCUCUGUAGGCUUCAUGCCCAGCGCUCUCUUCACCCGCAACAUUGCAGUUGCAUGUUGCGCCCUACACUACACUUUGUCUGUCCAAUGCAUUUAUACCAAACAAAAAUAUAAACGCGACAUUCAACAAUUUUAUUGAUUUUACGGCGUUACAGUUCACAUGAGGAAAUCAGUCAAUUUAAAUAAAUUCAUUAGGCCCUAAGUAUGGAUUUCACAUGACUGGGAAUAAAGAUAUGCAUCACAGACACCUUAUAAAAUGGGCCUCAGGAUCUCGUCACUGUAUUUUUGUGCAUUCAAAUUGCCAUAGAUAAAACGCAAUUGUGUUCAUUGCACGUAGUUUAUGCCUGCCCAUACCAUAACCCCACCGCCACCAGGGGGCACUCUGGCCUUUUAUUGUCCCCAGGACAAGGUGCACCUGUGUAAUGAUCAUGCUGUUUAAUCUGCUUCUGGAUAUGCCACACCUGUCAGGUGAAUGGAUUAUCUUGGCAAAGGAUAAAGGCUCACUAACAGACAUGUAAACAAAUUUGUGCACAAAAUUUGAGACAAAUAUAUUUUUUGUGAGUAUGGACAUUUUCGGGUAUCUUUUAUUUCAGCUCAUGAAACAAGGGACCAACACUUUUUACAUGUUGCGUUUAUAUUUUUGUUCAGUGUACAUUCUGUAGCAGGCCUGCUCCAUAGCAAGCUCCUCUAUCCAUUGGUGAAGUCAUUGAAAUUAAAAAUAUAUAUUUUGAUUUCAGAGGUUUAAAAAGGAACAGAAAGGAACAAUAUAAAACGUAACUUUUUGGGGGGUUCGAACCGGUGCAGAAUUUUAUUUUGCUGGUCGGAACAGUGGAACAGAACAAAAAUUUAAAAAAUGGUUCUGUUCACAACAAACGAUUGGAAAAUAAUUUAGGUUCCAACCCCUGGUAUAAACUGUACCGCGGUACAUUGUGUAUUAGUGCUGAGCGAUUAGUGCUUUUUGAGUUUGGUUCAGUUAGAUUAUAUGGGGGAGUGGGGGGCUGUAUCAAUAUGUGGGUUGAAGGCUGUAUCAAUACAGAAUAAAACAAUCAAUACAAGUCCCAUGAUGGUAGUGACUGACCAUUCCUGCUUAUCACUUAUUCACCAAUUAUUUUUUCACAUUACUUUACAUUAAUAAAAUAUUUAAAUUGUUCUGUAUAUUACAUUAGUUUUAAUUGAUGACUUUAUUAUUUCAUUCCAAGUCAUCAUCUCAUCUCUAUAGAGCUGUUGUUGCCUGUUGUCUGACAAAAUCACUAUUUUUGUAGUUCUUAAAAGUAAAUAAGGCAUACUUAAAAAUACAUUUAAAAAAGUAGAAUAAAUUGUUUUCCCGUAUCAGGACCUCCUAUUCGCGGGCACAAAUGCAUGUUAUGGUUCUAAUCAUAGAACUACAAAUAGAAUCCCCUUUAAUUCAAUAGGAUCUCUGUGGGCCUAGUCGUAAAGACUUUUAACAUGUAUCACCUUUAUGCUGUGGCAUAAACACAACCAGUCAUGAUGUUUUUUUUUUAAUUGGAUUUGUCAAACAGUGACUUCAAAGGACUACUUUACUCGGCUACUUGCGCAAGUUAAUCCACUCGCAACAUACAGGUGAAUGAAAAGAGACUUCUGGUAAAACAAAACACCAAAAAGACCAAUGCCAUUUGCCGACUGUAAUUAGGGCAGCAUUUAUGCAGGCCACUGCUGUCCGCGCUCUUCUCUGUGUCGGCCACGCAUCUCUGCCUUGGCAAAAUUCCUGUGUUCUUGUCAAACCGCGUUGCAUUUUGGAGUGUAAGCCCCCGUUUUCAAGUUAAUUCGCUCAUUUUCCCUUCCCCUGAUGUAAUGAUAAAUAGUGCUAUGCUAGCGUUUUAUUUAUUGUGAUAGGCUCAUGUUUUACCGAUACUGCUGGGACGUCGUACUGGACUGUACCGCCUUACUUUCACCCCUGCUUUUAUUACUACUGAAUACCAACUAUCAAUCACUUAGAUUAUGUAUUUUCAGGUAGAGAUACAUCGCAAAGCAACUGUUUUCUAUCCCUCUCUGUGUCUGCUCCACACAGACUGGACAAGUAGGCGCGCAAUGGAUUAUGGUCAUUGUAGUUAAUUACCACGUUUUCUGCACUAAACUAUAGAAUAUUGGCCUGUUGGAAACUACAACUCCCUACUACAGUACAUCGCACUGGUCGGACAUGAGCUGAUUUAUCUCUAGAGAAAUUGCAUAGAGCUCACAGGGUGAGAAGAAAAAAAUGAAAUUCAAAUAAUUGAACCGAAGUCGGUCAAUUAGUUUUUUUAAAAACGUACGUUUUGGUUAAUCGCUCAGCACUUGUGUAUAUACUGUACCACGGUACUGUAGUACGCAGUACAGAGAGAAGAUGAUUGGAGGGUGUAGGAUAUACAUCCAUAACAGGCUACUACUACAUUAUAUUUAGAGUUGAUGAUAUUACAAUAUUUAUAUCCCAUUUGUUUUAUAUGAUGUUAAAUAAAUGUUAUUGUUCUUAUACAUUGAUGUGUGGGGUGUGGUGAUUGUAAAUGAGUGGACUGGAUGCUACUCCUUAUUAGAAACUAGCAAAUAUGUUUUAUUGACAAUGAGCAUAGUAUUUCGCCAUCCCAAAAAUACUCUAUAUUGGCCCCUAAAUGUUGCUGUUAAUAAAGUUGUGGAUUGAAAAUAUCCUGCCUAAGUGCUUUUCAUAGAGUUAU